AGCUCCAAUAGCGUAUAUUAAAGUUGUUGCAGUUAAAAAGCUCGUAGUUGAACUUCAGGCUAGGUUGGUCGGUCCACCUAACAGUGAGUACUGACUGGCCUGGUCUUCCUUCUGGCUACUUAGGCUGCUUUUAAUCGGGUGGCCUAAUGUACCAGGACUUUUACUUUGAAAAAAUUAGAGUGUUCAAAGCAGGCCUACGCUUGAAUACAUUAGCAUGGAAUAAUAGAAUAGGAUCUUGGUUCUAUUUUGUUGGUUUCUAGGACUAAGGUAAUGAUUAAUAGGGACAGUUGGGGGCAUUAGUAUUUCAGUGUCAGAGGUGAAAUUCUUGGAUUUCUGAAAGACUAACUACUGCGAAAGCAUCUGCCAAGGAUGUUUUCA
rnacentral:rRNA from 1 species